GGGGCGGGCUGCCGGCAGGAUGUGGGCCGGGACGGAGCUGAGCGGCGCGGUAGGAGCACGGAGCGGAGGUGGUGCCACGGUUACCGCCUCUGAGGAAGGUUCCAACCAGCCUGUGCUCGUCCUGGUAAUCCCUCAGCCCCACCCCC
ensembl:miRNA gga-mir-2126 gga-mir-2126